AUCGCUUCUUGGCCUUUUGGCUAAGAUCAAGUGUAGUAUAAAAUACAAUAUUUGCAAUAUGAGUUAAUGGAACUGAGCUAUA
ensembl:snRNA U2 U2 spliceosomal RNA